UCUGUAGGCGGACGAGUAAGUUGGGCGUGAAAGCUCCGGGCUCAACCCAGAGAGGUCGUUCAAUACUGCUCGACUAGAGGGUGUCAGAGGGGAGUGGAAUUCCCGGUGUAGCGGUAAAAUGCGCAGAUAUCGGGAGGAACACCAGUGGCGAAAGCGGCUCCCUGGGGCAAACCUGACGCUGAGAGACGAAAGCUAGGGGAGCGAACA
rnacentral:rRNA from 1 species